rnacentral:rRNA from 1 species
GAUGAACGCUAGCUACAGGCUUAACACAUGCAAGUCGAGGGGCAGCACAGUGUAGCAAUACACGGGUGGCGACCGGCGCACGGGUGCGUAACACGUAUCCAAUCUGCCCGUUACUCGGGGAUAGCCUUCUGAAAGGAAGAUUAAUACCCGAUGGCUCUCAUUUGCGGCAUCGCUUAUGAAUUAAAGAUUUAUCGGUAACGGAUGAGGAUGCGUACGAUUAGCUGGUUGGCGGGGUAACGGCCCACCAAGGCGACGAUCGUUAGGGGUUCUGAGGGGAAGGUCCCCCACACUGGAACUGAGACACGGUCCAGACUCCUACGGGAGGCAGCAGUGAGGAAUAUUGGUCAAUGGCCGAGAGACUGAACCAGCCAAGUAGCGUGAAGGAUGACUGCCCCACGGGUUGUAAACUUCUUUUGUUUGGGAAUAAAGUGAGGCACGUGUGCCUUUUUGUAUGUACCUUACGAAUAAGCAUCGGCUAAUUCCGUGCCAGCAGCAGCCGCGGUAA